AGAAUAUACCGCUCUGUCGCUCUCAUGUACUUGUAUUAUGGGGGAGGAAAGUCCGGACAACGUAGAGCACCACACCACGUAACACGUGGGGCUUCGCAAAGGCGGAGUACAGAAAGUGUCACAGAAAAUUACCGCCUUUAUGGCAACAUGAAGGUAAGGGUGAAAAUGUGGGGUAAGAGCCCACAGGUGCAGACAGCAAUGCCCGCAUCGGAUAAACCUUGUGGGUUGAAAUGCCAUGUAUAUCCUGAUUUCCCAUAGGGGAAAUAGAUGGCUCGUUUAUAUGACUUCGGUCUCUCAGGAGGGGUAGGCAGCUUAGAUAAAUGACAGAGGCUCCGCUUAUGCGGAGAACAGAAUCCGGCUUACAGGUAUAUUCACUUU
rnacentral:RNase_P_RNA from 1 species